GACGUAGGGUCCAAGCGUUGUCCGGAUUUACUGGGCGUAAAGAGCGCGUAGGCGGUCCGUUAAGUGUAGAGUGAAAGCUCCGGGCUCAACUCGGAAAUUGCUCUGCAUACUGGCGGACUCGAGGACGGAAGAGGUUUGUGGAAUUCCCGGUGUAGUGGUGAAAUGCGUAGAUAUCGGGAGGAACACCAGUGGCGAAGGCGACUACCUGGCCUGUUCUUGACGCUGAGGCGCGAAAGCUAGGGGAGCAAACGGG
rnacentral:rRNA from 1 species